GGCAAAACUACGCCAGCAACUGCACAAUA
rnacentral:sRNA from 1 species